AUUGAACGCUGGCGGCAUGCCUUACACAUGCAAGUCGAACGGCAGCAUGGAGAGCUUGCUCUCUGAUGGCGAGUGGCGAACGGGUGAGUAAUGCAUCGGAACGUACCGUGAAAUGGGGGAUAACGUAGCGAAAGUUACGCUAAUACCGCAUACGACCUGAGGGUGAAAGCAGGGGAUCGCAAGACCUUGCGUUAUACGAGCGGCCGAUGUCAGAUUAGCUAGUUGGUCAGGGAAAGGCCCACCAAGGCGACGAUCUGUAGCGGGACUGAGAGGAUGGUCGACCACACUGGGAAUGAGACACGGCCCAGACUCCUACGGGAGGCAGCAGUGGGGAAUUUUGGGCAAUGGGGGCAACCCUGAUCCAGCAAUGCCGCGUGAGUGAAGAAGGCCUUCGGGUUGUAAAGCUCUUUCGGCCGGGAAGAAAUCGCACAGGCUAAUACUCUGUGUGGUUGACGGUACCGGAAUAAGAAGCACCGGCUAACUGCGUGCCAGCAGCCGCCGUAA
rnacentral:rRNA from 1 species